CACCCCCCUGGGGUGGGGGACAGGGGGGUCCUCAGCCCCGGGGCACCGGGCAGGGGGCGAGGGGACCCCUGGCAGGCCGCUGACACCCGCUGUGCCCCAGAUCCGCCGGCGCAGGCCCACGCCUGCCAUGCUCUUCCAGCUCUCCGAGCACUCGUCCCCAGAGGACGAGUCCCUGCCCUACCAGCGAGCCUCCGGCGAGGGCUGCCUGCUGAAACCAAAGAGGAACAACCCGUGUGCCUACACGCCGCCCUCGCUCAAAGCGAUGCAGCGCAUCGUGCAGUCCCACCUGGAGAGCGGCCUGGCCGGGGGGG